UAGCUCAACCGGUAGAGCAAGGCAUUAACACUGUCUGAGUUAGGGGUUCGAUUCCCAGGCUAGUUCA